GGAGGUAUAGCUCAGUGGUACAGUGCGUGCUUGGCGUGCACAGUAUCCUGGGUUCAAUCCCCAGUGCCUCCG
rnacentral:tRNA from 1 species